GAGUAAGAUCCCUCAGAGACGAUGAGGUUGAUAGGUUCGAGGUGGAAGCGUGGUGACAUGUGGAGCUGACGAAUACUAAUCGAUCGAGGACUUAACUAACUU
rnacentral:rRNA from 1 species